GAUUUGACUGACCACUAACUGUACUGGGUGUAACUUAAUAUCCUGUGUUAUAUAACAAGACUCUAAGACUGUCUUGAAUUGCUUUUUUGUAAAGGUCUGAACACUGUUAAGGAGAAAGCUGAGUAUUUACUUACCUUUCUGACAAACAAAAAUACGUUUCUCGUGCCAGUUUUAUUGUUGAAAAUACACUAAAACAAAAUUCUUUGAAAGGCCACAUAUCCAGGAGGGAGACAGUGUGAUUUUAAAUUUUAACGCAAGACUUUACUUUUAUCACUUAAACUGAUAAGCACUUUUUGUGUCAGUAUAAAAUGUACUAGAACCGAAGAAAUGCCAAGACAUCUGUCUUGUGAAGGAGGAUUUCUUGGCAAUCACUUUUAGUUUCUCGGGACAAGUGGCUACUCCUAGGAUCAGAAGAAGCUGAUGUAUAGUGUCAUGUGCUCAGUGGUUGCCAAAGUCUACCAACUUUGGGGAGCUGCAGGGUUCUUUUUAGUGGGGGUGGGAGGAGGGGGCAUAUUUUUUGUU
rnacentral:lncRNA from 1 species